GACGAACGCUGGCGGCGUGCUUAACACAUGCAAGUCGAACGGAAAGGCCCUGCUUGCAGGGUGCUCGAGUGGCGAACGGGUGAGUAACACGUGGGUGAUCUGCCCCUUACUUUGGGAUAAGCCUGGGAAACUGGGUCUAAUACUGGAUAGGACCAUGCUGUAGGUGGUGUGGUGGAAAGAUUAGUUUCGGUAAGGGAUGAGCUCGCGGCCUAUCAGCUUGUUGGUGGGGUAAUGGCCUACCAAGGCGUCGACGGGUAGCCGGCCUGAGAGGGUGGACGGCCACAUUGGGACUGAGAUACGGCCCAGACUCCGACGGGAGGCAGCAGUGGGGAAUAUUGCACAAUGGGCGCAAGCCUGAUGCAGCGACGCCGCGUGGGGGAUGACGGCCUUCGGGUUGUAAACUCCUUUCAGCCAUGACGAAGCCUUCGGGUGACGGUAGUGGUAGAAGAAGCACCGGCUAACUACGUG
rnacentral:rRNA from 1 species